GAUGAACGCUGGCGGCGCGCCUAACACAUGCAAGUCGAACGAUUAAAGCACCUUCGGGUGUGUAUAAAGUGGCGAACGGCUGAGUAACACGUGGGCAACCUGCCCCUUUCAUUGGGAUAGCCACGGGAAACCGUGGAUAAUACCGAAUAUUUCGAGACUUCCGCAUGGAAGACUCGAGAAAGCUCCGGCGGAGAGGGAUGGGCCCGCGGCCUGUUAGCUUGUUGGUGGGGUAACGGCCUACCAAGGCAAUGAUGGGUAGCUGGGUUGAGAGACCGACCAGCCAGAUUGGGACUGAGACACGGCCCAGACUCGUACGGGAGGCAGCAGUGGGGAAUCUUGCACAAUGGGCGAAAGCCUGAUGCAGCGACGCCGCGUGCGGGAUGAAGGCCUUCGGGUUGUAAACCGCUUUCAGCAGGGACGAGGCGAAAGUGACGGUACCUGCAGAAGAAGCCCCGGCUAACUACGUG
rnacentral:rRNA from 1 species